rnacentral:rRNA from 1 species
UACAGAGGUCUCAAGCGUUGUUCGGAUUCAUUGGGCGUAAAGGGUGCGUAGGUGGCGCUGUAAGUCAGAUGUGAAAUUUCGGAGCUUAACUCCGAAACUGCAUUUGAUACUGCGGUGCUUGAGGACUGGAGAGGAGAUUGGAAUUCACGGUGUAGCAGUGAAAUGCGUAGAUAUCGUGAGGAAGACCAGUGGCGAAGGCGGCUCUCUGGGACGGUACUGACGCUGAGACGCGAAAGCGUGGGGAGCAAACAGG